AUCCAGCGUCCACUGGAGAGACAUCUAAAAGAAAGAAAUAUACGGCAGGUUGAGGAGGACAAAGUCAGAAGAAGCAAUGAAUUCCACUGUAGAAUUUUGGACCUCUGGACGUUUGUGCGGCUCUCCGGAAGGUCGUUUCGGAGGAUUCUACAUCAAUUCUUCAGGAACUACAAAACAAAGUUUCCAAAAUAAUUGCAAGAAGACCUAUUCCUUCAGGAAAUGCACGCUAUGUCUGACUGAAAACCUCGAGAUUU